rnacentral:rRNA from 1 species
AAUAUUGCGCAAUGGAGGAAACUCUGACGCAGCGACGCCGCGUGAGCGAUGAAGGUUUUCGGAUCGUAAAGCUCUGUCCUUGGGGAAGAAGGUCUUCGGACUUGACGGUACCCAAGAAGAAAGCCCCGGCUAACUACGUGCCAGCAGCCGCGGUAAUACGUAGGGGGCGAGCGUUGUCCGGAAUGACUGGGCGUAAAGGGUACGUAGGCGGCUAGGUAAGUCAGAUGUGAAAGGCAUGGGCUCAACCCAUGUUAGCAUUUGAAACUGCUUAGCUUGAGUCAAGGAGAGGAAAGUGGAAUUCCUGGUGUAGCGGUGAAAUGCGUAGAUAUCAGGAGGAAUACCAGUGGCGAAGGCGACUUUCUGGACUUAGACUGACGCUGAGGUACGAAAGCGUGGGGAGCAAACA